CAUCGCAGUCCUUGGACAAUGGAUACAGGUGGUGCAUGGUUGUCGUCAGCUCGUGCCGUGAGGUGUUGGGUUAAGCCCCGCAACGAGCGCAACCCCUAUUGAUAGUUGCUAAUAUUAAGUUAAGGACUCUAUUGAGACUGCCAGCGACAAGCUGGAGGAAGGUGGGGAUGACGUCAAAUCAUCAUGCCCUUUAUGACCUGGGCUACAAACGUACUACAAUGGCCAGAUACAAAGAGAUGCGAAGCCGCGAGGUGGAGCGAACCUCAUAAAAAUGGUCUCAGUUCGGAUUGGAGUCUGCAACUCGACUCCAUGAAGUCGGAAUCGCUAGUAAUCGCGGGUCAGCAGACCGCGGUGAAUACGUUCCCGGGCCUU
rnacentral:rRNA from 1 species